AGUGAACGCUGGCGGUAGGCCUAACACAUGCAAGUCGAACGGCAGCACAGUAAGAGCUUGCUCUUACGGGUUGCGAGUGGCGGACGUGUGAGGAAUACAUCGGAAUCUACUUUUUCGUGGGGGAUAACGUAGGGAAACUUACUCUAAUACCGCAUACCACCUACGGUUGAAAGCAGGGGAUCUUCGCACCUUGCGCGAUUGAAUGAGCCGAUGUGGGAGUAGCUAGUUGGCGGGUUAAAGGCCCACCCAGGCGAGGAUCCGUAGCUGGUCUGGGAGGCUGGUAGGCGACACGGGAACGGAGACAAGGUCAAGACGCCUAAGGGAGGCAGCAGUGGGGAAUAGUAGACAAUGGGGGGAAGCAUGACACAGCGAGACGGCGUGGGUGAAGAAGGCGUUCGGGUUGUAAAGACGUUUUGUUGGGAAAGAAAAGCAGCAGGUUAAUACCACGCGGGUGUGACGGUACUCAAAGAAGAAGCACCGGCUAACUUCGUG
rnacentral:rRNA from 1 species